AGACCCGAAACCCGGUGAUCUAGCCAUGGGCAGGUUGAAGGUUGGGUAACACUAACUGGAGGACCGAACCGACUAAUGUUGAAAAAUUAGCGGAUGACCUGUGGCUGGGGGUGAAAGGCCAAUCAAACCGGGAGAUAGCUGGUUCUCCCCGAAAGCUAUUUAGGUAGCGCCUCGUGAAUUCAUCUCCGGGGGUAGAGCACUGUUUCGGCUAGGGGGCCAUCCCGGCUUACCAACCCGAUGCAAACUGCGAAUACCGGAGAAUGUUAUCACGGGAGACACACGGCGGGUGCUAACGUCCGUCGUGAAGAGGGAAACAACCCAGACCGCCAGCUAAGGUCCCAAAGUCAUGGUUAAGUGGGAAACGAUGUGGGAAGGCCCAGACAGCCAGGAUGUUGGCUUAGAAGCAGCCAUCAUUUAAAGAAAGCGUAAUAGCUCACUGGUCGAGUCGGCCUGCGCGGAAGAUGUAACGGGGCUAAACCAUGCACCGAAGCUGCGGCAGCGACACUCAGGUGUCGUUGGGUAGGGGAGCGUUCUGUAAGCCUGCGAAGGUGGCCUGUGAGGGUUGCUGGAGGUAU
rnacentral:rRNA from 1 species